UGCUGGUGGUUCACAUCUAUAAUCCUAGUUACUCAGCAGGAAGAGAUUUGAAGAUCGCAAUUUGAAGCCAGCCUAGGCGAAGAAGGCCC